rnacentral:lncRNA from 13 species
AUCAGAUUCUUGACUUGUCUCCAUUCUCCGCGUCUCCUCUCUCUCUUUUAAUCCCCACUCCCUCCCUAGGGUCUCUGUUGCUCGUCCGGCGGGUCGGGACAGAUCUGCUUUCGACGAUUUCACAUUGAGUACUGUUUCACUUUGAGAGCAAGUUUCUAAAAUGGGUGGAAUGCAAUGGCAUGGUCUCACCUCACUGCAACCUCUGCCUCCCAGGUUCAAGCAAUCCUCCCACCUCAGCCUCCCGAGUAGCUGGGACUACAGCUUGCCAUUGAAUUCUUUCCUAGGCAAACCGAAGAACCUUCCAAGAUAAGCCACACUGCUCAACUCACCUGCCCUGUGUCAGCUUUGCGUAGCUAAACUGAUAUUCAUAAGACUCUAUCUCUUAAACCACCCCUAAGUACAGGUUACAUUGCUAAUGCAGUGAUGAAACAGAAAACAUGACUCCCACUCCCCCAAAAAAUUUUAAGUAUUUCUCCUUUUAAAGUAAAUGUCAGUCAUACACUAUUUCCUUGUGUCCUCUUAAACUUUCUUUGAGGUGUAUGAGUUCAUAUAGAAUGCUUUACCAUUGUCAGAAUUGUUAAUCCAAUGCCAAAUUAAA